UUCUCGGAGUAGCGGUAAAAUGCAUAGAUCUCGAGAGGAACACCGAUGGCGAAGGCAGCUUCUUGGUCCAUAUCUGACGCUGAGACACGAAAGCGUGGGGAGCAAACAGGAUUAGAUACCCUGGUGGUCCACGCCGUAAACGAUGAUCACUAGACGUUAGUUCUGUUUUACAGGAUUAGUGUCGCAGCUAACGCGUUAAGUGAUCCGCCUGGGGACUACGGUCGCAAGACUAAAACUUAAAGGAAUUGACGGGGGCCCGCACAAGCGGUGGAACAUGUGGUUUAAUUCGACAAUACGCGAGGAACCUUACCUAGGCUUGGCAUGUAUUCGACAACUGCAGAGAUGUGGCUUUCCAAGCUUCGGUUUGGACGGAUACACAGGUGCUGCAUGGCU
rnacentral:rRNA from 1 species